AACUCUUCAGAUAUACUUAUUUGGCCUCAUGACAAUGGCAAAUUUAGUGCCACAUCCGUAUGGAAUCAAAUUAGACAAAGAAAUAACAAGUGGGUCCCAAGCAGUUGGACAUGGGAUCGACCGGGAUCACAAAGACACUCCUUAUGUACAUGGCAGGCCCUUCUCAAUAAACUACCUACAAUAGACAAUAUGAAAAGAAGAGGUA
rnacentral:lncRNA from 1 species